rnacentral:rRNA from 1 species
UACGAAGGGGGCUAGCGUUGUUCGGAUUUACUGGGCGUAAAGCGCACGUAGGCGGAUUGUUAAGUCAGGGGUGAAAUCCCGGAGCUCAACUCCGGAACUGCCUUUGAUACUGGCAAUCUUGAGACUGGAAGAGGUUAGUGGAAUUCCCAGUGUAGAGGUGAAAUUCGUAGAUAUUGGGAAGAACACCAGUGGCGAAGGCGGCUAACUGGUCCAGUACUGACGCUGAGGUGCGAAAGCCAGGGGAGCAAACGGG